UACGAAGGGGGCUAGCGUUGCUCGGAAUCACUGGGCGUAAAGGGUGCGUAGGCGGGUUUUUAAGUCAGGGGUGAAAUCCUGGAGCUCAACUCCAGAACUGCCUUUGAUUCUGAAGAUCUUGAGUUCGGGAGAGGUGAGUGGAACUGCGAGUGUAGAGGUGAAAUUCGUAGAUAUUCGCAAGAACCCCAGUGGCGAAGGCGGCUCACUGGGCCGAUACUGACGCUGAGGCACGAAAGCGUGGGGAGCAAACAGG
rnacentral:rRNA from 1 species